GAACUGUUAGCUCAGAGGAAAGAGCAAUCGCUUCGUAAGCGAUCGGUCGCGGGUUCGACCCCCGCACGGUCA
rnacentral:tRNA from 1 species